UCUCCGUUGGUGAACCAGCGGAGGGAUCAUUACCGAGUUUACAACUCCCAAACCCCUGUGAACAUACCAUUUGUUGCCUCGGCGGUGCCUGCUUCGGCAGCCCGCCAGAGGACCCAAACCCUUGAUUUUAUACAGUAUCUUCUGAGUAAAUGAUUAAAUAAAUCAAAACUUUCAACAGCGGAUCUCUUGGUUCUG
rnacentral:misc_RNA from 1 species